UUGUCAUUAUGCUGACACUUUCUAACUAUGUCCUUGAAUCUUUCCCAAGCUUCGAAAACUAUAUUUGUCGCCUUUUGGCAGAAAUUGUGGAUUUCACUUCUGAACCU
rnacentral:snoRNA from 1 species